rnacentral:rRNA from 1 species
AUGUUUGAUUGGCAGGAUGGUACGAUGGACAAGCAGGUGUACCAGAAACAAGUGGAGGAGGAAGAACUUGAGAAGAAGAAGAAGGAGCUAGAGGAGAAAGCCAUGUUGGAGGUGCAGAUGGAAAAGCUCAAACUUGCAAAAGAGCAGAGGUGCAUUUUACAGAGCCAAGCUGAUAUCAUUAAGAACACCAGGAAGGCUAUGAAGGAUGUUGAAGUUGACAGAGAUGUUCUUAAGAAGGAGAAGGCAAAGCUUGAGCUUGUUGUUGCUGAGCUGCUGAAAGAAGGGUAUGGCAGCAAGGAGAAGUUAGAGCAAAUCAAGGCUAUCCUUGAGUCUUGA